ACUAUGCAAUAGUUUCGUUUUUGUGGUGCGUCAAUUUAAAAUUCAUAUUUUAACAACUUCUUUAGUUAAUUUGUUCUGCUCAAGCUGUAACAAAUUGGCAGAAAUUAAGCUCGAUGCUGAUUUUGAAAAUCUCUGCUUAUUUAUUGACAGCCAAAUGAACUGUAUCUUACUUUCGCAACUUCUAGGAGCCUCCGUAGCCCUUGUACUUGGAGCACCAUCAACAUGCCCACCAGAUCAUAUAAGGAUACUUGAUGACUGCGUGAUGUUGAGCAACCAGCUUCGGGUUAACGGAAUCGCUUUCGGUGCUAAUUAAAGGCUUUGCGCAGCUUAUAUUCGCCAAAUACAUGCUGACCAUUUUUCAACUCCAAAGUGAGCAUACGCUCCCCCUCUUAAAGGCUCCUUCAAUGCCCACGCACGCAAUGUGUCCCCCAGCAGGAUGCAUCCUGGGAGCACCAGCUCCCGCUUCUCGGAAGGCCGAUAAGCCGACGCUAUCAACGCCUUACAUCCGCGCGUGUCUGGGCAUUGGGCUUACCCCUGCCCACCGCCUCGCACAUCCUUAGCUCCUCCCGCUUCACCCAGCAUCCUGCAUCCGCUUCCGCUGCAUCUGCCGGAGCUUGCUAUCCUGUUUUAGCCAGAUUUACAACCAAACGAACUUCACGAAUUCCGUUGCUGCACGCAGAUAAAAUCUUUAUACUCAUUGCAAAAUUUUAUAAGCUAUUUCAAAGAUUAGGAGGGACAAAUACAUAACAAAAUAUACUAUGCAAAUAUAAA